rnacentral:lncRNA from 12 species
AUGGAGGCAUCCUUGGAUAAAGCUUUCCAGCUACCACAAGAUGUAAUGACUUUGGCAAAGACUGUGUCUUCCACACCUAAGCAAGUGCUGGUGAAUAAUGAUGUUCUGAAACAUAAAAAGGAUAUUGACCUUAUUAAAUUAAGCCGGGACAGAUAUCUCACAAUUUAUGUGUAUGCUUUGCCUUUCAAGGCCCAAUUCGAAAUUUCAGCCGUAUAUUUUCAACGUUCAACUCAUACUCUGGAAACAAAAUUCAUGCUGGGAAGCGCGCACUUCCUUCCCCAGGCCACAUUCCGUCUGAAGGACUGUACUAAAUAAAACUAAAACAGAGCUACCUCAAACUCUCUGCUGGGUCUUCACCCCUAGGAUGAAGUCCAACCAGAUGCAGUUGUUCGAGAUGUAGGUGGCUCUUGCUUACUUCUCCAGUGUCACGGCGAGCUAGUCCCCUCACUGAUGGAAUUCCUUCUGUGUCUUCACAUCCAUCCUGCUGCUCAACCUUUCUGUGGCUUUGCACAUGUUUCCUUAGAGAGCAUUUGCCUUCUUUUCUAAAUCUCGAAAAUUUCUGAGUGCCUUCUCCUUUGAAACUUUCUCUGACUUUCUCAAGGAGAGCUGAGCACUCCCUCACAUCUACGUCUGUAGGCACACGUCCCUAUUAGAACACUUGCUACGGAGUGUUACACAUCUCUACCCCCCUUAGCAGAUGGCCCACAUGCUCUGAAAGCAGGGCUGUCCUCCUCCUCUUUGCAUUCUCUCUAUCCAGGACCAGACCCAGCCCCGUGCAAUCCACCAUCCCCAGUCUGGUGCCCCUGGUGGACAGUGGCACGUGUUAGGAAUGUACCUGUCAGUGUCCCAUCUUAUGGUGCUCAGUCAAGGCCAUGGGACUACUAGACUCUUGCCCCAUCAGUUUCCCGCAUCACUCUGGGAAAUGAAUGCAGAAGCAGGUGCAGAAUGUGAACCAGAGGGCUUUAAUUGCUAUGCAAGCACCUGAUUCCCAAAAGGAGAAUUCUGG